AUGCAAGUCGAACGAGAACCGGGUAGCAAUACCCGGGGAAAGUGGCGAAAGGGGCAGUAAUGCGUGGGUAACCUACCCUGGGGUUGGGUAUAGCCGGUCUAACGACCGGGUAAUCCCCAGCGACGUCAUUCGGGGGCAUCUCCGGAUGACCAAAGAUUUAUCGCCCCGGGAGGGGCCCACGUGAUAUUAGCUUGUUGGUGAGGUAACGGCUCACCAAGGCAAAGAUGUCUAGCGGGUGUGAGAGCACGACCCGCGCCACUGGCACUGAGACACUGGCCAGACUCCUACGGGAGGCUGCAGUCGAGGAUCUUCGGCAAUGGGCGCAAGCCUGACCGAGCGACGCCGCGUGUGCGAUGAAGGCCUUCGGGUUGUAAAGCACUGUCGAGGGGGAGGAAGCCGAAAGGUUGACCUAUCCCUGGAGGAAGCACGGGCUAAGUUCGUGCCAGCAGCCGCGGUAAGACGAACCGUGCAAACGUUGUUCGGAAUCACUGGGCUUAAAGGGCGCGUAGGCGGGCCAGCCAGUCUGUGGUGAAAGCCCCCGGCUUAACCGGGGAAGUGCCGUGGAUACUGCUGGCCUCGAGGAGGAUAGGGGCAUCUGGA
rnacentral:rRNA from 1 species